rnacentral:piRNA from 1 species
UGGAUAGAUGUAGGUGAGAGAUGUGCACC